rnacentral:rRNA from 1 species
GGUACAAGAUGAGUGUGCGGAUGAUUAGGUAGUUGGUAGGGUAACGGCCUACCAAGCCGACGAUCAAUAGCUGGCGUGAGAGCGCGACCAGCCACACUGGAACUGAGACACGGUCCAGACUCCUACGGGAGGCAGCAGUAGGGAAUAUUGGACAAUGGGCGGAAGCCUGAUCCAGCCAUGCCGCGUGGAGGAUUAAGGCCCUCUGGGUUGUAAACUCCUUUUAUCUGGGAAGAACCAUUCCGACUUGUCGGAACAUGACGGUACCAGAGGAAUAAGCACCGGCUAACUCCGUGCCAGCAGCCGCGGUAAUACGGAGGGUGCAAGCGUUAUCCGGAUUUACUGGGUUUAAAGGGUGCGUAGGCGGACUUAUAAGUCAGUGGUGAAAGCUCGGAGCUUAACUCCGGAACUGCCAUUGAUACUGUUAGUCUUGAAUUUGGUAGAGGUGGGCGGAAUGUAACAUGUAGCGGUGAAAUGCAUAGAUAUGUUACAGAACACCGAUUGCGAAGGCAGCUUGCUAUGCCAAUAUUGACGCUGAGGCACGAAAGCGUGGGUAGCGAACAGGAUUAGAUACCCUGGUAGUCCACGCCCUAAACGAUGAUUACUCGACAUUAGCGAUAUAC